CCUGACUAAUAUUUACAUAUAGGAAGUAAACUUUAUUUGAAAGCUCUGGUAUUUAAAGCUACUAUUUCUUGACAGAAGGGAUUCCAGGGAUUGCAUAAAGAAGUUUUUAUUCCAAAAGGCAAACAGUGAAAUUCUAAUUUAAUAAGUAAUUUAGGGUAUGUAAGGAAAAUCUUCAAUUUUAGGGUAGCACACACUUUGAGAAUAAAAAUGAAACUGUAUCAGGUGUUUAUUGAAGUAAUUACACAAUUUUUGUGAUUUGGGAUAUUGUUUUUCAAAUUUUAAGUGUUUUCAUUAACUACUUGUUGCAGGCAAUGUCUAGUUCUUUGAAAGAACCUGAGACUCUAGUUUUGAUAGAUGUUAUCUUGGGCUCCAAAUAAAACCAAAGCAUAUAUAAUAUGUAAUCUAAAUGCUUAGUAUCAGUAAGUUGCAGAGGAGGUUAAAUACAUUUAUAAAUUCUUUUUCAAAAAUCUAGACAGAAGAUCUGCACAACUAAACCUAUCAAGUUAAUGAAAACUAAAUUAUAGGCCAAUAUUUUUGCAGUGGCAUUCACCCUUGGUACCCCGUCCUCAUGUCCUUUUUUAGGGAGGAAAAAAUGGACUCUCACAGUCUCAAAAUUAAACUCUGGGUUUUUUCCUAUCAAACAUUUGGAGGAGAUUUAAAAGAGUUUAAUCAUACCCUCAAAGUUUACCACUAAAUAUAGAGAUACAGAUUGAAAUAUUCUUAGACCAAAAUCUUAUAUGCAAAAGUUACUUUUACCCUAGCACGGCUAAGAGAGGAGACAGUGGAACGGAGGACGUCCGGAUGCUCAAGCCACCCGGGUUGGAGAGGCGUUAGCAGGCGGAACCCGAACGGCACUCUAUUAAUACUCCCCUGGAUUCAAAAAGGAAAAACCCCAGAACCGUGUUCAAACCCCACAGACAGAGAAAGACAGGUGAAGAAUCCUUCCAGUCUCUUAAAAUUUAAAACAGCAACAUUGACCACAGUCUGGAAGCUGAAGGUCUCCAUGUGAGCUCCGGACACCACUAACAUAGUCACAUUUUGUUUAUGUGGACAGGAAGGUGGCUUCUAUCCCACGCUGACAGAGCCGGUGAUGAGUAGAGCACUUGCUGGGGCCUGCCAGCCAGACAUUUCUCCACAAGCACAGGAUGGAAACCCUUCUUCUCCGGCUGCAGUGGAUUUUGACUAGAAAUAUCCCAGCCAGUGUUUCGACUUUUUGAUUUCACUUGCCAUUCGUAGGCAGAUGAACCUAGACACUUUCACUCUGCCCUGACUGCCCAUUUGGGAACAAAGUCCAAGACCUCUUGGAAUGAUAAGCACGCAGAAGAAUCUGGGUCCUCAGGUUUCAUAGGCUUUGCCGUUGUGAGUUAGAUUCUGAGGUAACACAGCACUGGGUCGGGUCAUCCCAAAGGAUGAAUUUGAACCAGAAACUGCAGAACAGCAAGUCAUGUUUAUUUAUGCAUAUCAGGCCUAUACUUCAUAUGUUAUUUUCACCAUCAAAUGACCUGAUUAGAAAAUAAAGAUGUGAGGGGAGGAGUCAAGAUGGCGGAGAAGUAGCAAGCUGAGACUGCUUCAGCUAGCCGGAGAUCAGCUAGAUAGCUUAUCUAAAGAUUGC
ensembl:lincRNA